UGGAGGGGGUUGGGGGGUGUGAACAUGCCCAUCUGCCGUCAUCCCCAUGGGAAAAGCUGGGGGCAUGCCUACGGGAGAGAGAAGUGGACCUCAGGUGGGGCUGGCCGCUUGGGCUGGAAGAGGGGCCAGGGAGUGGAGGGAAACCACUCGGCCUGUGGCUGUCAGUCAGGCCUUCAGCAGCCAGGAGAGGGUCUGCCGGAGUGACCUCCGGGUGGCUCUGGAGUCAUGCACACCCACUGCCAUUUCAUUUCCUGACUUAAGCUUUUCAUGAGCAGUCCUGGCCACAACUGUGCCCUGGGGCAUUAGGUCUGGAGGUGACACUUGGGAGGGUGGGAGCACCAGUGUUCUCACACCAGCCCUGUGCAGACGUCGGUGUCAUGGUGAGGAGAGGCCAGGACGCAGGGGCAGAUGCUGCUCUGCGGUCAGCACCUCCUGACACCUUUCGCUCUUGAGGCGGGGAGAGCCUGGUGCUGGCAGCUGGUGCCGGGCUUCCCUUGUCUUCAGACAGCGAGUGCCUAACUGCAGCCACGGCAGUACCACUGUGAGCGUCUUUGACCACACCCCACCAUUACGAGGGAGACCCAGACCCUUCUCACUGACAUCAUUUGAAGAGCCAAAGAGUGCCGUGGGUUGGAAGGCACCUGUGGAAUUAAAGGGAACAUGGCCAUGCUGACCCAGGAUUGAUUGAACAAUCUGCAUCACAGCUCCGCCGGUGAUGGAGUCCAGGGUUGGCACGGACUGGACUCUCCUGAGAGGUGGGUGUUGGAGAAUCAGUCAGCUGAUGGGCUCCAUGUCCCUUUGUAUCCAGGAAGAAUCAAAUUAUGAGUAAAAUGUCACCGUGAGGUGAGCGUGAUGACACCAGGGCUUGGUGCAGCCUGCCCUACCUUGUCCCUCAUCCUGGUGCAUCCCCUCUACACAAGCUUCCGCUGCUAUUCAGCUCUCACUUUGUUCGCUGUCUUUAGUGUGACUCAGCCCAGGGCCUUUGGUGAAAGACCAUAAUGAUUGCUUCUAUUAAGAAGGCCUUACUUAAAGCAUGGUGAGGCUUGCCUGAAAUUUCAAAAGGAUCACAAAAUCAAGGCCACCCUGAGCUAUGUAGCAAGACCUUCUUUUUAAACAAGAAAAAGGCAGCAAUCCAUAUUUUUUCCUAAGUAAGUAUUCUGGCGUUCAGAUACUGAUCUGCUGAAGGAAUUGUCUCAUUUAAUGUCAUGUCAGAGACGACCCCAGUUAGAUUGGCCUGUGGUAUCUCAGGGAAUAGCAACCUCGGUUUCUAGAAUCAGAGAAGUUGGCUAAGCUCACCUUGCCUGAUAGACAGAAGAUAAAUGACCCAGGGGGCUGAGUGGGACAGUGGCCACCCUGGGCAGCCAAGGCUGGGGAGAAGAAACCUGAUCUGAGCAGGAUGUGCCUGACUGAUAUAAAUAGAUGGUGACAUGGUAGCCCAGCACUGCAGAUGGGGCAGUGGCCACCUUAGCAGAGAGCUGGAGACACAGAGACGGUAGGUCCCCCAAACCUAGCCCUCAGCGGACAGCAGGCAAGUCCUGGGAGGCCCAGACGGGGUGAGAGUUCUGCGGGAUCUCGACCACAGUCGCUCUAUGAAGUGAUGUGAUGUGGGUAGGAACACGGUGUUCUCAGUUGGCGUGAUUCCCUGAACAAUACUGACUUCAAGGGCUCAGAUGAGGCUCCGUCCGCUGAGUGUCUCUCUUGCAUGCAGAAGGCCAUGCGCUGGAACCCAGCACUGGAUGGACCAGAUGUGGGGACACCAGAAAUUCAAAGUCAUCCUCAACCACACAGGAGUUCAGGUCAGCCUGGGAUGCACGAGACCCUGUCUCAGAACAAAUAACACUUCUUUCAAGAAGUCUUAAAAUUAGGGCUAUGAUGAUCCAAGGUGAGAACGAUGCUUUCUAAAGACUGUGACACUCGGUUACAGCCACUGGAGUGACAGAAGCCUUACAGCUUGGUGGCCCCAUGGAAGCGCCUGUCCUCAGGCAUUCCGAGACAGACAGAAGGCAACGUUCACUCAGGGUAGGUGACCAAGAGUCUCAGAGAGGCCUAUGCUGGUCUAACCAAUAAUCAGCUUCUCCUUGCACAUCCAGCAUGAGCUCAGAGAGUCUGGCAACGCUAGUUCUGAGUGAUGUCCUUCGACUGCUUUGUUUAUUCUGUAGUGGUCCUUGGCCAACAGGGAUGUCCUGGCUAAAGAGCAUUUCCCAGAGUCACAUCCUACCUUUCUGAGGUGGUUGGAUCUUCCCUCUGGCAUGGGGAGCAAUUAUUGAAAAAAAAAAAAUUUCCAAAGGAAGGAAAGGCAUACAUGUGGAUGAUCAUCAACCUAGAAAUAAAUGUUAGACUUUUAAUGUGUUGGUAAUGGAUUGCUAUCCACGCAGUAUUUCUCUACCAUAUACCUGUUGAUCAUGUUUAUAGACAUUUAGAUCCCCGUUCUGCAAACCAAGACACUUUACUUAUUGUGGCAAUCCAUAGCUACAUAUAUGAACAUGAAUAUAAACAUACUAUAUAAUUCAUGUAUUUAAAUCUAUAUACCACCGUUGUUAAUAUAAGCUAAUAAAUGGCUUUUUAAACAAUCACA